CCUACGGGAGGCAGCAGUGGGGAAUUUUGGACAAUGGGCGAAAGCCUGAUCCAGCAAUGCCGCGUGAGUGAAGAAGGCCUUCGGGUUGUAAAGCUCUUUUGUCAGGGAAGAAACGGUGAGGGCUAAUAUCUCUUGCUAAUGACGGUACCUGAAGAAUAAGCACCGGCUAACUACGUGCCAGCAGCCGCGGUAAUACGUAGGGUGCAAGCGUUAAUCGGAAUUACUGGGCGUAAAGCGUGCGCAGGCGGUUUUGUAAGUCUGAUGUGAAAUCCCCGGGCUCAACCUGGGAAUUGCAUUGGAGACUGCAAGGCUAGAAUCUGGCAGAGGGGGGUAGAAUUCCACGUGUAGCAGUGAAAUGCGUAGAUAUGUGGAGGAACACCGAUGGCGAAGGCAGCCCCCUGGGUCAAGAUUGACGCUCAUGCACGAAAGCGUGGGGAGCAAACAGGAUUAGAUACCCUGGUAGUCCACGCCCUAAACGAUGUCUACUAGUUGUCGGGUCUUAAUUGACUUGGUAACGCAGCUAACGCGUGAAGUAGACCGCCUGGAGACGCGCAUG
rnacentral:rRNA from 1 species